ACUGGAAGUAGGCAUAGAGGCUACUACCUUAAGAACUAUAAGUUUUAGGUGCCCUUGUGGGCUCCUGGUUUAAAAUUUUAGUCGCCUGUGAGCAAAUCGUAGAGCCUCUGGCAACUGGGAGCCCAUUAGGCUGCAGCCUUGGAUAUUUUGCUAUUUGUUAAUGUCAAAUAAACAUGGUGCGCAUGAUAUGGAUUUUUUUUUUCGCCUUUUUGAAUUUUCACUCUCUCUUAAUGCCAUGAUUUUAGGAAUGAUAUUAUUCAAAGCAUUUCCAUUCUGCACUCCACAUCAGUUCCAUUAACCAUGUGAUAAUUACUGUUUAGUCCACCAGGGCACUCUGACAGAGUUAGUAUCACAUAUGGGACCAGGUGUUGGAAUGGUGCAUCAGUCCCAGGUCCAACAAAGGGCGUGAUUAGCCUGGCCUGGAGGUCUCUCGAGCAGACAUCCUGUAAGCGCCCACAAAUCUUGCUUAUCUAGCUUACAUUCAAACCAAGGUGCCUGGAAAUUCGUCGCUUAGAGUCCUCGGCAGAGAAAAGAAUACACCGUCAGCAGGAGUUUACCAAGUAGCACUCUGGGGAACUCCUCGAAAAAACUGUUUGAUCUCGCACUUCUUUCUCUGCAUCCUCUGCAGCGCCUGUGCAGUGUUGAAAAGAAAAGACCCUUUAUCACUUUUGGACAUAUUGAAAUGGCCGGUUUCAACUUUGGUCAUAAAUUAAAUAAUAUGAAAGUUGUUACAAUAUUAGAUGAAAAAGAAAAGGAUUAAAGGGCGUUCGUGCCAAUACACA